CGGGGCGUAGCGCAGCUUGGCUAGCGCGCUUGAAUGGGGUUCAAGAGGUCGCUGGUUCGAAUCCAGUCGCCCCGA
rnacentral:tRNA from 1 species